UCCCGCGCCCUCUCCAGAAACAAUCUGGAAAGAAGCGCGGUGCACUGAUGUUUCAUUGUUCCUGUUUCAUCCACCUGAUACAGGUUGGUAACUGUGAAUAAUCUAUAACUCUCUACCUCAAAAGGCCGCGCUUUAUUACAGUGAUUGUCUGUGAAAUGUUCAGUGUUGAAAUGUUGUUUAAACAGUUACAUACGUAAAGACAAAGAAAGUUAGCCGGUCUCGGCGGAGUUUUCUCCUGCUGACGUCAUCACGAUAUGUAUAAAAACAGUAGUAAAGUGUUUUGAAAGCUCCCGUACACUAUGCAUGUUUAAUAUUUACAUUGUUUAAUGACAUUAGCAGGAUUUACAUGUACUUAGUACAACUGGGUUAAUGCUGUUUAUAGUGAACACUGAUUGUUAACAUGAAAAUGGUUGUUCUGUUAAAAAUAUUUUGCUACACGUGUUGACAUAAACAUUUUCUAGUAAAUGCAUUUCAGUAGCCUGUCAUUAUUACAGAGGUAGAGUGUCAAGCUUGGCAAAUUGAAAGGGACAAAAUGUAUUAAUUUGGAUGAUGCUGAAAAUAAGCCGCAGUAUUGUGACCAGUUGUAUACUGUGAAAAUGAAUGCACUUUAAUGAGUACAAGUGUUUAUUGGACCAAGAAAAAGGUUUGUGUCAGAACUGGUAGCACAUCAGAAUGAAAUUGUGCUUUAUUGAAAAUGUGAGAAAGUAGAAUGCAGUGAUGGACUUUAGUGAACUGAGAACUCAAAUAUGAAAAACUGGAAUGUGUACAACAGAAAUGUGUUUAUGAGCUUUGUUCAUGAUUUUGAUGUGUUUAAUAAAACACACAGAGAAACAAUCUGGAAAGAAGCGCGGUGCACUGACGUUUCAUUGUUCCUGUUUCAUCCACCUGAUACAGAAAGAUUUCAUCUCGUCUUUACGACACCUAAUCUCUCCUCCUCGGUGAAGCCCAUGAUCUCCAUGGCCUCCAGAGUCUCAUCAAACAUCUCCUCGUCCUGCUGACCAGAGAUCUCCACGUGACCUGCCACCAGGAAACGGUAGCUACUGAAGUCCUCCAGCAGCAGCUCCUCUACAAGUACAAACACACAAAGCAUUCUAAUCAGAGGACAUUUGAAUUGAAUUACCCAAACCUUAACUUGAAGCCAAUAUUUCAACUUAAAAUUGACGAUUUACGUUAUGGGGAUUUAUUCUUAUGCCCUAAAAGGAGGGAAACCUCCAUGAUGCGACACAAGGUGUCAACAGAUUUAUGUCUGUAUGACCUUUGAAAAAUGUUAUUUCAUAGCUGAUGACACCUGGUUAUAAAACUUGCACACAGAUUAAUGUUAAGAAUGUGCAACUUCCUAUCUGACAAUAAGUCAUCUGCACAGACUCCCUCAGAAGGAGUGUAGAGAAAAGCUACAUGUGCAACACAUUUUCCUCUAAGAAUACAGCUCUGACUGGCUUUAAAUUGCCUUAAAAUGACAUACUGUUCCUUUAAAAAUGCAAGUACUGAUAUUUUUCUGUUGUCUAAGCUGCUCACCCUUCAUCUUGUCUUUGGCUCCUGCCACCAUGUAGUAGAAGAUGUGGAAGGCUCUCUCAGUGUUGGCCUGACGGAUACAGCGAGACUUCUCCAACAGGUCUGACGAUUGGCUCAGGAAAAGGUUAAGCAGGUGUUUAAUUUAAUGUUUGGAAUUCAGUCAUAGCUUGACAAAGGAUACAAGUGUCAAUAUUUGCCCCAACGAUAUAGCCGGUCACAUCAAAGUUGAGUUUGAUGAAUUUUCCCUGUGGACACAGAUGAUGACAGCAGCUGUAUGACACUAUACUGUGGUAACUAAACAUCAUAGUAUUCUUGACUUGUAUUUCUGUAAGUGAGUUGACUUACAAGCUGACAAAAUCACUUACAAAUCGUGAGGAGUUGUCAUUUUUGAUGGUUUUCGCAUUGCCAAAGGCCUCCAGGAUUGGAUUUGCCUGCAGCAGCUGCUUUUCCAACUCCCCCUGCGGUCCAAAACAUAGUUACACAUCUACUUAUGCACAACAUUUACCAGCUGAUGUUUAGUCAGCAUAAUGCAGACAACACACCCAAAAAAUCUGCUUACUUUCAAAUGGAAUGUACUCAAAGAUGCGAGAGUGGCAAUGUAUUUUUGUCUUUAAAUGUAAAGUAAAAGUGUGUCUGUAUGAGAUUCAGUACUCACAUAAGCCAGAGAUCCUGCCUGCUGCUGCUGCUGCUGCUGCAGGAAGAGUCAGUAAAACAAACGGAUGAGAAACCAUAAGAGGUAAAUGCUUUCUAUGAGUGUCCUCUGAUUAUUUUUAUGCAUGUGAAAACGGUGCAUUUAGAUUUUCCCCAAAAUUGGCCGCCUGAAACACAGCUAAGCAGCAGACAUCGGGGGUCAAGCAUCCAUAGAUCUUACCUAAACAACCCACAGAUGAUUCAUGACUGGAUUAAAUGCAGCUGAGCAAAAAGCAGCUGUAACUUUCAAUCAACAUUACAGAGGAUUUGUGGGAAAAUAUGAAGACUGGGUAUUUCCAUCUUCUCCAAGUGCUGCGCUUCUCUAUUAGUGGCAUGUUUAUGUAUGGGACUUUUAAAAUCUUCAGAGUUGUGUGAAAAAUUAAAAGCAGCAGCAGCAAUAGCAGAAGCAUGUACAACGUUGAUCUGUCCUCACCUUGGCCACAGCUGCAGCAACUGAAUCCUGUCAUGUACAGCAGAAUUUAUGCUUCAACAUUUUGUGGCAAUACAGGUCAUAUCAAAUGACACCUUUGUUUCUAGCACAGUAAUAUCUGUCAUCAAACUGUUUGUCUUUGCAACUUUGCCUCAAGAUUUACUGUACAAAACGAGCAUAGAUAAUAUCUAUGUGAGAAUGUGUGCAACCAUACAGAUGAAUAAAUGGAGCAAAAUAUGCUUCUGUAAGUUAAAGAUCAGAUUCAAAUUAUCCUGAAAGCUCGAGUGUUGACCAGAACAAAGAGAUCAGAACACAUCAGUCCAGUUCUAAAGUCUUUACACUGGCAACCAGUCAGCCAUAGAAUAGAUUUAAACGUUCUGCUACUGGCCUAUAUGUCACUGAAUGGUCCAGAAUACGUUAAUGACAUGUUAAUGGAAUAUAAACCCAGUAGGACUCUGAGAUCUAUGGACUCAGGUCAGAUAGUAGAGCCCAGAGUUCAAACUAAACAUGGUAAAGCAGCAUUUAGGUGUUACCAAGGAAACUGAGGUCAGCACCAAACAUUCACAUUUUCAAAUCCAGGUUAAAAGCUUUCCAUUAUCCGUGCGCUCAUGGGUGAGCUCUUUUAAAUCACUCACAUUUUAAUCUUGUAUCUGCACUGUUUGUUCUGUUAAUAUAAUCAGCACAGAUAUGCUGGCUUUCUUUUUUUUAUUAGUUUAUUUAAUGUUCCCUAAACAGUGAACAUCUGUCAGUAAUAAUUCUAUAUCUGAGUACAACAAAUAAAAUACAUAAAAUGUAUUUUCCAUUGUUACCAAAUUACAUGUUGCCAUAUUUUGGUGGCUACUUUGAUCGUUACAGAGGUUCACAUCCAUAUGUACAAUAAUGUUACUAUAAUAUUACUGCAAAUAUCCUGCUGUGACACAGUGAAAUGGAAAAAUCUCUGGAACAAAACAGUUGACAGAAAAAAAACAUGUCUUACUUCCGUCAAUGGAUCAGACUUUUUAUGGUUAAAUAAUAUUCUGACAGCAGUGAUGGAGGUCAGGACGCAACCUGAGGACCAAAUAAUGAUACUGUUCCAUGGAUGCAAGUGAAAGCAGCACUCUCACUUUGCUGCAGGUAGCUUCUUACUUUGUGAUUACAAGUUACGCAUUUUACAUAAACUAUAGAUGCAAUUAGUCCAUGUUAUUAGACCUAACUGUAAGGUAUUUUAGUCUCUUUUUUCUUUUCUUUUUUUUUUUGCUGUGUAGGACCAGGAACUAUAAAAAACAUACAUUGUCAAUGAUGGAUGUUGUGAGUCUGAAAGUCCCCUCAAGCUCACAAGUAUUUUAUUAACAUUAUUUUAUAACAAUCUUCCAAGUUUUUAUCCUGUUUUCAUUUUGAUUUUUGCACAUAUUAAUUUUGUUGCCUGAUUCACGUUGUUUUAAAAUGAGCUAUAAAGAAAAAUAAAUUUUGAUUCUGCUGCCAAUAAAACUACUGUGUAUUCAUCUUA